rnacentral:rRNA from 27 species
UUGGACCUGAUAUCAGGCAAGAUUACCCGCUGAACUUAA